GGAAGGGGUGUUUCACAUUUUUCAGCAGAACAUUGCGCUCUGACAUGAUGUGCUUUUCCUCCUUCUUCUUCAGGAUUGCUUUUUUCUGUAGGACUUUAACAGCAUAAAACUGCUCUUCUGCCUUAUGCCGUGCAAGAAGAACCUUUCCAAAGCUUCCUUUUCCAAUAACUUUUAAGAAAUGAAAGUCCGAUGGCUUGGCAUGUGGGUUGGAUGAUGGACCGAGAUUUAUCUGUUGUGAUGGACUGGGCUAAAAAUGCAAACACACAAAACAGUUUUAAUUAAAUAUUGAAUAAAACUUUGAAAGUGAAGACGAGCGCUCUGCUUAUCACUAAAACCUUAAUCUAGACAUCUACCAGAUGACUUACACUCUUUGGUACUACUCAAGAAGAGUAUAACAGCAAUAGCUGAUAGAAGAAUUCCUUCUGGGGUCAGUCACUUUCCACAGUGAAGCUACAACUAAUAAAGGCUAUUUUAAAAACUUUCUUCUCCACACUGAGAACAAGUUCCAGGCUAACGUG
rnacentral:lncRNA from 1 species